GAAAGCCGGAUGCGGGAAAUCCGCACGUCCGGUUUGACGAGCGGCGACUGGAAACGGAGCCAUGGUCCGAAAUGAGCCACCGGCACUCAGCGAAAGCUGCCGGCCAACGGCAACUCCUCGGAACCUGUAGCCACCGCGUCAGUCGUCGACUCUAC
rnacentral:ncRNA from 3 species